GCAGUGGUGGUUCAGUGGUAGAAUCCUCGCCUUCCAUGCGGGAGACCUGGCUUUGGUUCUCAGCCAAUGUA
rnacentral:tRNA from 1 species